UCUAAGUAUAACCUGCCAGACAGGGAAACUGCGUACGGCUCAUUACACCAGCCUUAAUUUACUUGACCUUGACAACCUACUUGGAUAACUGUGGUAAUUCUAGAGCUAAUACAUGCACCAAAGCUCCGAUCCUCGCGGAGAGGAGCGCAUUUGUUCGCCACAAAACCAAGCGCCCAUCUGGGCGUCCAGUGCUGAACCAGAACAACUCAGCUGAUCGCACGGUCUUGUACCGGCGACGUGUCUUUCAAGUGUCUGCCUUAUCAACUUUCGAUGGUAGUGUACCUGACUACCAUGGUUGUGACGGGUAACGGAGGAUAAGGGUUCGACUCCGGAGAAGGGGCCUGAGAAAUGGCCACUACGUCUAAGGAUGGCAGCAGGCGCGCAAAUUACCCACUCUCAACGCGAGGAGGUAGUGACGAGAAA
rnacentral:rRNA from 1 species